GAUUGUUGUCAUUACAUUGAGAGGGGUAAUGCCAACUCGAGCUAUGUGUAACUUUACCGGCUACACACAUAACUUUUGAACAUAUUUAUUAAAACUUUUAAAGUUUAUUAUUUGACUAUAUUCAGAAUCAACAUCCAAAUAUAUUAAAAAUAAUUGAUCAUAUUGGAGUGGAGAAAAGAACUUUAAAAAGAUGUAAUGAUGGUUCACUGGAAAACAGUAGUGUUAAUGCUUCAAAACAACUUUAAAAAAAAAUCCAGAUAAAUCAGGCAGUUUUGGAGGAAUUUUUGAGAAAAAAAAAAGUUUACUAACCAAAAUACUCUAGAUCAGUGGUUCUCAAUGGGGGCGAUAUCGUUUUAAAUGGUUGGUCGACUUUUAAAAAAUCAUACAUUGGAAUAAUAGUGUUAGAAGGAGGAUUUAUUAAGAACUAAUUGUCUUUUAAAACCGAGAAGACUAAAAGGGUCACAUACAUAUGAUAUCAUAGUUAAAACUAUCGAUGAAGUAUACACACAGUCUGAAAUUUCAGAUAAAUUAUUUUAUUAUACUACAUAAAAUGAUUCUAAUUUUGUAAAA